rnacentral:tRNA from 1 species
GCAGUGGUGGUUCGGUGGUAGAAUUCUCACUUUCCAUGUGGGAGACCCGGGUUCAAUUCCCAGCCAAUGUA